CACGUAGGGGCCAAGCGUUGUCCGGAUUCAUUGGGCGUAAAGAGCUCGUAGGCGGCUCAUUGCGUCAACCGUGAAAACCAGCAGCUCAACUGUUGGCUUGCGGUUGAUACGGGUGGGCUGGAGUUCGGUAGGGGAGACUGGAAUUCCUGGUGUAGCGGUGAAAUGCGCAGAUAUCAGGAGGAACACCGGUGGCGAAGGCGGGUCUCUGGGCCGAUACUGACGCUGAGGAGCGAAAGCGUGGGGAGCGAACAGG
rnacentral:rRNA from 1 species